ensembl:lncRNA
CGCGGCCUUCUUUCUUCUCUGUGACGGCAUCUACCCAAACGUCCUUCUGUCUAUAUAUGGCCUUCUUUUCUGCCUCUUAUGAAGACGCUUGUCAUUGGACUUAAGGCCCACCUGGGUGGUCCAGAAUGGUCUCAAGAUCCCUAACUCAAUCACAUCUGCAAAGGACUUUCUACUAAGACGCAGCCUGGAUCACCUGCUCAGAGCCGAGGACAGCAUGUUAUCUUCAUCUUCUGCAGGUGUGGCCAAGGCAGAAGCUGGAAGAGUGAGGACUCUCCCGAGGGUGGCGCCUGAGCCCCUGAAGAUGGCAGAAUGGACACUGGAGUUCUCUGAGGUCCCUUUUAUCAGGGCAAUAGCCCCAUUCACAGUUUUCCUGCCCUAAAGACCCAUUCACCUCUCAAAGGCCUUGCCUCCUCAGAACAUCGCAUUAAGGAUUAAAGUUCAAGAACCUAUUUGACUUAGCUGUGGCCACUUGGCCCUUACCGUGUCUGGGGGCGCUCAGAAUACAUCCUCACCUGUUAACCAUGUCCUCACCACCCAUUCUGCAAUGACCCCUUGACCUUUACAGGCUACCCCUCUUUCCAGUGAACCUUUUAGCAUUGAUAAGAAAACAGCAAACUGAACAAGGGUUAAACUGAAAAAAUAAGGUAAUGAUUUUGUUAUUAAAGAAGAUUCCUGACAAGUAUGAAGCUUGCAGAAAAGAUUGGUCGACAUUUAUCAUCUGCUGUGGGGCUUCUGAUGCUGGGAAAGAUUGAAGGCGGGAGGAGAAGGGGCUGACAGAGGAUGAGAUGGUUGGAUGGCAUCACCGACUCCAUGGACAUGAGUCUG